rnacentral:rRNA from 1 species
CCUACGGGUGGCAGCAGUGGGGAAUAUUGCACAAUGGGGGAAACCCUGAUGCAGCGACGCCGCGUGAGUGAAGAAGUUUUUCGGUACGUAAAGCUCUAUCAGCAGGGAAGAAAAUGACGGUACCUGAUCAAGAAGCCCCGGCUAACUCCGUGCCAGCAGCCGCGGUCAUACGCAGGGGGCAAGCGUUAUCCGGAUUUACUGGGUGUAAAGGGAGCGUAGACGGCAGGACAAGUCUGGAGAGAAAUGCCGGGGCUUAACCCCGGAGCUGCUUUAGAAACUGUGCAGCUAGAGUGCAGGAGAGGUGAGUGGAAUUCCUAGUGUAGAGGUGAAAUGCGUAGAUAUUAGGGGGAAAACAAGGGGAGAGGGCGGCUUACUGGACUGUGACUGACGUUGAGGCUCGAAAGCGUGGGGAGCAAACAGGAUUAGAUACCCCGGUAGUC